UAACGCGUAAACAACCUGCCCUUCGGAUGGGGAUAACAGCCGGAAACGGCUGCUAAUACCGAAUACGAUCUUUUCGUGCAUGACGGAAAGAAGAAAGGAUGGCCUCUAUACAAAGCUAUCGCCGAAGGAGGGGUUUGCGUCUGAUUAGCUGGUUGGAGGGGUAACGGCCCAACAAGGCGAUGAUCAGUAGCCGGUCUGAGAGGAUGAACGGCCACAUUGGGACUGAGACACGGCCCAGACUCCUACGGGAGGCAGCAGCU
rnacentral:rRNA from 1 species